GUGUUGUAUGAAAGGAGAGAAGGUUAGCACUCCCCUCGAUAAGGAUGGAAGAGGCCCUCGGGCCUUACAACUUGCACACAGUUAGGCAUCGUCACCUACUGUGUGGCAUCUAACCACAGUUUUCU